UUCAGGCUUUGACUUUUAAAACUCUGUCUGGAUUUACUCAUUGUGGAGAAAGCAGUUUCUCGAGAGCAUUUUUCACAUUCAAGAACUUUUUAUAGGCACUGGUGAUGGCGGCGAGGGUGAGGAAACUGAUGACAGUGGUGGUGGUAGGGGGGGUAGUAUAGGGAUAGUCGUGGGUGGAACAGUUGCCGCGAUUGCUAUCGUUGCUGCCGUGAUUAUUGCUGUUUUGUUUUUCAGAAGAAGCCAAACAAACCUUGACGAAACAAGACAAACUGGUUUGUUUGAAAAUCCGGUAUCGAUGAACAUCACACAAGCUGCUCCAGAUAAUUUGAGUCCGACAGGGCCUGGUUAUUAUGAGCCUGUGGACCGUGUUUUCAAUGGUAAUGAGAUUGAAUUAACACAAAGAAUUUCUGCAGCACCAACAUCAUCGGAUUACAUGACUUUGAAAGAAUCCAGAGAGCCAGAGAACACAUAUUACCAAUCGCUAUUACCAUCAGAUACAAGUAACCCAGAUCAAACGGAGGAGGAUUAUGAUGACGUUUUGGGCUAUGCCGCUUUAAACGACAACCGAGAAACACCCAGCCCCUAUCAACCGUCACAACUCUACGCCAAGUACGAGGAGCGAUCUUAAUCAUGAUGUUAUUGACGAAAUUGAGCGAAAUGAGGGUGUACGUGGAGCAAACAAAGGACAAGAAUCAUCGGAUUACAUGUCGUUGAAAGAAAACAAAAAACCAGCAAACGUUUACCAGGCAUUGCAACACUACGGCAUGAAAGAUAUUCAAAGUCAUCUUAAUUAAGAGGGAGGAGAGUUUAAAACAGACUUUAGUGAAUAUGUUUAAUUUAUCAUAGAAUGAUAAUGUUAUAAGGAUAAGGUGGACAAAGCCAUUUUUUUACUUAUAUCCGUCUGUAUAAUACAUGAACUAAAUCUAGAAAACCAGCCGAAAUGUGACGAAACAAAACAUUUUUUAGAAGCAUUGAUUUCAGCCAGGAAAUGAAACCUUUUCAUAAGCCAAAUGCACGAAUGAAUAAAUUGCAUGAGCGAAUUGAACAGUCUUGUUUGGGUUAACAUGCAAUAGCUGUCAAUGCAUGCGUUCAUAACCUGUGAUGGACCAUCUUUUUCAGUUUACAAUC